rnacentral:tRNA from 2 species
ACUCCUGUAGCUCAGCUGGAUAGAGCACGCGUCUACGAAGCGCGGUGUCGAGAGUUCGAAUCUCUCCAGGAGUGC